ensembl:miRNA
UCCUGCCCAGAGUACAUACUUCUUUAUGUACCCAUAUGAACAUAUAAUGCUAUGGAAUGUAAAGAAGUAUGUAUUUUUGGCAGGCACUG